UACGUAGGGUGCAAGCGUUGUCCGGAAUUAUUGGGCGUAAAGAGCUCGUAGGCGGUCUGUCGCGUCGGAUGUGAAAAUCCAGGGCUCAACCCUGGACCUGCAUUCGAUACGGGCAGACUAGAGUUCGGCAGGGGAGACUGGAAUUCCUGGUGUAGCGGUGAAAUGCGCAGAUAUCUGGAGGAACACCGGUGGCGAAGGCGGGUCUCUGGGCCGAUACUGACGCUGAGGAGCGAAAGCGUGGGGAGCGAACAGG
rnacentral:rRNA from 1 species